rnacentral:pre_miRNA from 1 species
GCACAAGUCACAUUCUUCUUUACUAUCUCAUAGAUUUACUCCAAGUAUGGAAUGUAAAGAAGUAUGUUCUCUGUGC